GCAUUGCUGAAGAGCGCCAUAAUAGGACGAAACGACCGUCCAGUGC
rnacentral:hammerhead_ribozyme from 1 species